GUAUACACUUCCCUUCUGAGUCGAUAGAAGUGUGAGCGUGAACGUGCUUGAUGUGUUCAUUAAAAAUGGCAUUAACACAUCUACCUCUGAUCUUUGUUGUGAUGUUUAUCAAUCCUCUGAUCUUCAGGACAGUAUCCAGUGACAUAAUCCAACCAUCAGCAAUAACUGUCCAGAAAGGUCAUUCUGUUCAGCUGACUGUACAAAAACAUGCUAAUGAGACAAUGUUUGAUGAUUUGGAUUGGGUAUAUGGAUUGGAAAAUAAUUCAAGUGGUAUAGUCUCAUACAAUGUUAAAGAAAAAUCAGAAACGAUUUACCCUGCCUACAAGGGGAGAGUGGAUUUCAAUACUGGAAACUACUCUCUAACACUGAAGAACAUGCAGGAGACAGACAGUGGACUCUACAGAGCAAGAGCGAGUGGAGAAUCAGAUGUCAUUGUUGGGCUAUACAAUAUAAGUGUUGGGACAAGCAGUCAUGGAUCAACAACAGGAUCUGUUUCUCUUACUUGGAUCAUUUUCCUUUUUAUUUUGCGUGCAAUGAUGAUUUGACUAUUUUAGGAUGAAAAUAUCCAAAAACCACUAAUAAAUGUUAUAGUUUUUGACUUGUGUACUUACAUUAUCCUGAACAUUUCCAACAAUGUUUUAAUCCAGAGAAAUCAGCAAUUUCAACCAGUGUAACGCCCCGUGUCAUUGCGUCGCCUAUCAAUGACAUCAUCUCCACCUUACUCUCGAUUUCCAUUUUACUUCCGUAGUAAACCAGGGAUACAUCAAAGACACUUUAAUAUAUUAUGCAGUUAAUAGGACAGAUGAGGAAGAGUUUGGGUACUUUCUCGACAGAAGACUAAUCAUUGUUAUGUAGCUCAUAGUCUUUGUUUGCAUCUCUUUUUGUUUUCUUGACUUUCUACACUCUCUACACGUAUACAGACAGGAGCCAUCUUAGAAAAUAGUCUCGAUAAGUCGAUCCCCGAACGCCGUUCAUACAGUUCAG